rnacentral:rRNA from 1 species
GAUUGAACGCUGGCGGAAUGCUUUACACAUGCAAGUCGAACGGCAGCACGGGGGCAGUCCUGGUGGCGAGUGGCGAACGGGUGAGUAAUACAUCGGAACGUGCCCGGUCGUGGGGGAUAACGUAGCGAAAGUUACGCUAAUACCGCAUACGAUCUGAGGAUGAAAGCGGGGGACCUUCGGGCCUCGCGCGAUCGGAGCGGCCGAUGUCAGAUUAGGUAGUUGGUGGGGUAAAGGCCUACCAAGCCGACGAUCUGUAGCUGGUCUGAGAGGACGACCAGCCACACUGGGACUGAGACACGGCCCAGACUCCUACGGGAGGCAGCAGUGGGGAAUUUUGGACAAUGGGCGCAAGCCUGAUCCAGCCAUUCCGCGUGCAGGACGAAGGCCUUCGGGUUGUAAACUGCUUUUGUACGGAACGAAAAGGCUCUGGCUAAUACCUGGGGCUCAUGACGGUACCGUAAGAAUAAGCACCGGCUAACUACGUG